rnacentral:lncRNA from 1 species
UACUAGGAUAAAAGAACAAGUGAUUUCAGUUUUGGUGCCCAGGAUCUGUUAUUUCCACUGCAUUAUCAGUUCUGGGUGAAAGAGCACUAUUUAUGCACAUAGAGCUACACAAACUCCUGCAGAUACAACGGGUAACGAUCAAAUUGUACAUUCCCUUCUUAAUUCAGAGUGAUCAGCAUCGAUGGCCUAUGAAUUGAGAUUUGUUUUCUUAGUUUGUUUCUUUGUUUGUUGCUUUGGCGAUGGCAGAUUUUUCUUCUAUUCUGUUUUAAUCAAAAGCUUUUCUUUCAGAAGAAAGAAAAGAGAAGAUGACAGAACCCUCCCUGAAAAGCAAGCACAAGGGACUAAGCCUUUCCCAAGAGCUCUUCUCAUUUUUCUCAACUCACACACAGCAGUACACAGUUUAACCAAAAAGGUACAGCCCCACACACCACUGGUACCAGCUGAGAAACCCCUGAGGUGGAGAGCAGAAGGCAUGACGUACCCCUGGAUGCCCAAAGAUUGUCCAGCCGAGGAUUUGUAACUUAUGCUGCUGACAGAUCCUGACCUUCAGAGCAAGACUGCAAGGACAAGGGUCGGGGAGUCUGACUCAUUCUCAAGCUCUAUAUUAAAUCUGUCUCACCCAGGAUAUCUAAUGCCUCGCUGUUUACAGAAUCAGUGUCUGGUUUAUUAUCUUCUAAUAUAAUAUUUUUGUAAUUGGGAGCCUGUAUAUUUUUGAUAUGAUCUGAAGGCAGUGACUAACACAAGGCCAUCACCCCGUCUUGCCUGGAGUCACUGGCUGCAAAUGGGCACAGGUUUACACCCCCACGCAAUCAGCCACAGGGUUAGGGCCCUGCCUUCUAUUCAUCACACACACAAAUCAGGGAGGCACAGAUCAGCAAGAAAGGCCUUCACGAGAGAACUUCUGAAAAAUUUCUGGCAUACAGAGUUUUAUGUUUCACGUUUGUGUCCUAUGAGGGGGGAGAGGGCAGUAGUGCUUGAGCUGAAAUGGGGAGAUAUAGGGAGGUUGGAAUGAAAAGUUUUAAGCAGAAAAAACACUUAGUAGCACCUAGUCCCCAGGUAAAGAAAGGCAAAAUGCCUUCACUCCAGUUUUCCUAAUCAAAUUAGACAGAUUUGCAAGGUAUAGAGUAUUUCUUGCUUGUGGAAACAGAUAAUUGCCCAGUUUGCAACAGCAGCGACCUGCUACUGUGCUGACUAGGGCAGUUUAAACAUAGAAGUCAUCCACAGUGGCCUCAAGCUCCUAGAUAAGUAGUGAAAUUCAUCUAGACCCCAAUUGGCUUUUGUAAGGAAAGCUUAAAAAUCUCUGUGUCUUAAAAUUAAGUUACCAAGCCAAUGCUCCAUCUCUAAAGUGACAUUUCACCUUGCUUGGGUGUCCUGUGAAUUGCAAUACCUCGAGCUGAUGCAGCUAAAAGAACAAGUAGAGAAGACAGAAAGAGCCAUUACCACAGCCCUUAUUAGCCAUUCCCGAGCAUGGCAGCUGUCAGUCCUUGGGUCUGCCUCUGCUGCAAUUAUCUGCCUCAAGCAAUCUGAUCCAAAUGGAUUAUUUGGAUUCUUCAGUUUGUUACACACCAAAAACCAAGGGCAGGAGAUAUGCCACAUGCCCUGGCACAGAACAGAAUAAGCUCACUAAGCUAAAGCUACAAAUAAUACUCACUUUGAAAUAUGUUACAUGAGAACAAGUAUUUUAGUGUAAGACCUGUUACACUGAAAUGAACCUAAAGCGGAAAGAAUUUAAGCUGAAAAUAUUUUUAUUUCAUGGUAUUAGCAUGUAUUAUGUGUUUUUGACUAAAACUCAGAAGUUCAUACAUGUAAAUUUAUCUUCUGUUACAAAUCACAUGGGUUACAGAUGUUCCUGCUGCCCCUUGAGUGUCAAGCUGAACUCAAUCCCAAACCCUCAAAGGUGAAUCCAGUCAACAUUUAAAUCUGAAACUACAUAAAAACUACAUAAUUUGAAACUACAUAAACACCUUCAUGUGGUUGUGCUCCCAGCCUGAAAUGUGUCACACCAAAUUGCAAUGCUCAGCUUCAUUACCUGAAAUUCACACAGAGCAAAGAUCCUUGUUAUUCAGUAGACAACUGUCACUCAUAACAUGCAGCAUAUUUGGUAUCUGAGAGACUGAAUGCAUUUUCUAUUAAAAUGCAAACAAAAAUCUAACCCCCCUAUAUCAUUAACUCAAAAUGUGUUAAUAAUCCAGGUGGAUUAUUUCAUGUUUGAUCCUAGGGAUUCAGAAUAGAGCCCAACUCAUUUAUCCACAGCUGCAUCACCAUUACUGGCAUAUCAGGCACACACACACAAAUUUAUGGGACUGUGUCAUUUGGUCAGUAACAUAAAUAUAUCUGAUUAACAGCCACAAAUGGCUGACCUAUUGACUAAAACUGUGCCAUCAUCUCCCCAGAGCCAACUUGCUUUUUUUUUCUUUCACUACUGUCCUUUACAUUGAAAAUAGCUUUUGCUGACUGAAAUCUCCAAUCUUUUUUUUCAUGAAGAAAAGCCUUUGUAACCACAAAAAACAAGUAACAACUCAAGAAGAGAUAAGAGAAUUUUAAAAUAUUAAACCACUAUUUUUCAUGUCUGUAUCUGUUGAAAGUUAGAUGGUUGUGUGUCUUGAAGAUUAAAUGUUUUAAUUGAAAAUUUCCUGAGGUUUAUAAGCAGUUUUUUCAUUCGAUCCCUAUUUUUCUUAUUACUAGCAUUUAUUAAUAUAGGAUACAAUGGAAUAUAACAAGCUAGGAAGUGAUGGCCUUGCUAAAGCUGAAUUUGGCAGAAUGCUGAUAUUCUCUCUGCUGGUAGAGAAUGUGCAAUAAAAAUAUAAAACCGGUGGGAAUUCA